GAGGAUCUGUGUUACUGAGAUGAUACUAAGAAGAGAUUCAGGAAGCUUUUUUUAACGACUCCAUUGAACCGUGUGUCAGCCAAUGUGGCUUAUUUCCUCAACUGUUUACUAACUGAUACUGAAGAGAUUGUUUCUGAUGAAGUUGCUGCAACAAAAAAGAAGUCCAAGAAGAAGAAAGG
rnacentral:lncRNA from 1 species